ACGCUCGACACCUACGGGAGGCAGCAGUGGGGAAUAUUGCACAAUGGGGGAAACCCUGAUGCAGCGACGCCGCGUGAGCGAAGAAGUAUUUCGGUAUGUAAAGCUCUAUCAGCAGGGAAGAAACUGACGGUACCUGACUAAGAAGCACCGGCUAAAUACGUCCCAGCAGCCGCGGUAAUCUGAGCGGGCUGGCAAGGC
rnacentral:rRNA from 1 species